UACGAAGGGGGCUAGCGUUGUUCGGAUUUACUGGGCGUAAAGCGCGUGUAGGCGGGCCGUUAAGUUGGGGGUGAAAGCCCGAGGCUCAACCUCGGAAUUGCCUUCAAAACUGGCGGCCUGGAGCAGAUGAGAGGCGAGUGGAAUUCCGAGUGUAGAGGUGAAAUUCGUAGAUAUUCGGAGGAACACCAGUGGCGAAGGCGACUCGCUGGCAUCUUGCUGACGCUGAGACGCGAAAGCGUGGGGAGCAAACAGG
rnacentral:rRNA from 1 species